AUCUUUGAAUAUACUCAACCUAGACAUAGUAAGGAAGUGCCUCUGUGAACGAUGGAGCAAGGGAAUAACUUCAUUGGAAUGUAUAAUUGUUAGACUUGAUCACAGUUAUUGAAAAGUAAUUCAUGCGGAAUUUGAGCUGAUUAUCAUUAUGACUUUAUGAUUGGAUCAUUUCCAGUGGAACAGAACGAUGCUGUUUAUUUUUU